CCUACGGUGGGCAGCAGUGGGGAAUAUUGCACAAUGGGGGAAACCCUGAUGCAGCGACGCCGCGUGAGUGAAGAAGUAUUUCGGUACGUAAAGCUCUAUCAGCAGGGAAGAAAAUGACGGUACCUGACUAAGAAGCCCCGGCUAACUACGUGCCAGCAGCCGAGGUAAUACGUAGGGGGCAAGCGUUAUCCGGAUUUACUGGGUGUAAAGGGAGCGUAGACGGCAGCGCAAGUCUGGCUUGAAAUCCCAUGGCUUAACCAUGGAACUGCUUUGGAAAAUGUGCAGCUGGAGUGCAGGAGAGGUAAGCGGAAUUCCUGGUGUAGCAGUGAAAUGCGUAGAUAUGAGGAGGAACACCAGUGGAGAAGGCGGCUUACUGGACUGUAACUGACGUGGAGGCUCGAAAGCUUGGGGAGCAAACAGGAUUAGAUACCCGGGUAGUC
rnacentral:rRNA from 1 species